UACGUAGGGGGCUAGCGUUGUCCGGAAUCAUGGGGCGUAAAGAGCGUGUAGGCGGUCCGGUAAGUCCGCUGUGAAAGUCGGGGGCUCAACCCUCGAAUGCCGGUGGAUACUGUCGGGCUAGAGUGCGGAAGAGGCGAGUGGAAUUCCUGGUGUAGCGGUGAAAUGCGCAGAUAUCAGGAGGAACACCUAUUGCGAAGGCAGCUCGCUGGGACGUAACUGACGCUGAGACGCGAAAGCGUGGGGAGCAAACAGG
rnacentral:rRNA from 1 species